rnacentral:rRNA from 1 species
UACGGAGGUUGCAAGCGUUGUUCGGAAUUACUGGGCGUAAAGCGCGUGUAGGCGGUUGGGCAAGUCAGAUGUGAAAGCCUUCCGCUUAACGGAAGAAGUGCAUUUGAAACUACCCGGCUGGGGUACGGGAGAGGAGAGUGGAAUUCCCGGUGUAGAGGUGAAAUUCGUAGAUAUCGGGAGGAACACCAGUGGCGAAGGCGGCUCUCUGGUCCGAUACUGACGCUGAGACGCGAAAGCGUGGGGAGCAAACAGG